GAGUGAACGCUAGCGGCAGGCUUAACACAUGCAAGUCGAGGGGCAGCGUGGAGUAGCAAUACUCUGACGGCGACCGGCGAAAGGGUGAGUAACGCGUGAGCAACAUGCCCGUUUGAGGGGGAUAGUCAUUGGAAACGAUGCGUAAUACCCCGUAACACCAGAGACCGCAUGAUCUUUGGUUGAAAGAUUUAUCGCAAACGGAUUGGCUCGCGUACCAUUAGCUAGUUGGCGGGUAACGGCCCACCAAGGCGACGAUGGUUAGGGGUUCUGAGAGGAAGGUCCCCACAUUGGAACUGAGACACGGUCCAGACUCCUACGGGAGGCAGCAGUGAGGAAUAUUGGUCAAUGGCCGAGAGGCUGAACCAGCCAUGCCGCGUGCGGGAGGACGGCCCUAUGGGUUGUAAACCGCUUUUGUUGGGGAGCAAUAAGCAGGACGUGUCCUGCGAUGAGAGUACCCAGCGAAUAAGCAUCGGCUAACUCCGUGCC
rnacentral:rRNA from 1 species